rnacentral:rRNA from 1 species
AUUGAACGCUGGCGGCAGGCCUAACACAUGCAAGUCGAACGAGUGGCGGACGGGUGAGUAACGUCUGGGAAAUUGCUAGAUGGAGGGGGAUAAGUACUGGAAACGGUAGCUAAUACCGCAUACAAUCGGAUGUGCCCAGAUGGGAUUAGCGAGUAGGUGGGGUAACGGCUCACCUAGGCGACGAUCCCUAGCUGGUCUGAGAGGCUGACCAGCCACACUGGAACUGAGACCCGGUCCAGACUCCUACGGGAGGCAGCAGUGGGGAAUAUUCCGCAAUGGGCGCAAGCCUGAUGCAGCCAUGCCGCGUGUAUGAAGAAGGCCUUCGGUUUGUAAAGUACUUUCAGUGUGGAGGCGUUACUCGCAGAUGAAGCACCGGCUAACUCCGUGCCAGCAGCCGCGGUAAUUC